rnacentral:rRNA from 1 species
AGCGAACGCUGGCGGCAGGCCUAACACAUGCAAGUCGAACGAAGUCUUCGGACUUAGUGGCGGACGGGUGAGUAACACGUGGGAACGUACCUUUUGGUUCGGAACAACUCAGGGAAACUUGAGCUAAUACCGGAUGAGCCCUUAGGGGGAAAGAUUUAUCGCCGAAAGAGCGGCCCGCGUUAGAUUAGCUAGUUGGUGAGGUAAAGGCUCACCAAGGCUACGAUCUAUAGCUGGUCUGAGAGGAUGAUCAGCCACAAUGGGACUGAGACACGGCCCAGACUCCUACGGGAGGCAGCAGUGGGGAAUCUUGCGCAAUGGGCGAAAGCCUGACGCAGCCCUGCCGCGUGAAUGAUGAAGGUCUUAGGAUUGUAAAAUUCUUUUACCAGGGACGAUAAUGACGGUACCUGGAGAAAAAGCCCCGGCUAACUUCGUGCCAGCAGCCGCAGUAAUAC